CUACGGGCGGCUGCAGUGGGGAAUAUUGGACAAUGGGGGAAACCCUGAUCCAGCAAUGCCGCGUGUGUGAAGAAGGCCUGCGGGUUGUAAAGCACUUUCGGUUGGGAGGACUGCUUCUAGCACUAAUAUUGUUGGAAGUUGACGUUACCUUCAGAGGAAGCACCGGCUAACUCCGUGCCAGCAGCCGCGGUAAUACGGAGGGUGCAAGCGUGUAAUCGGAAUUACUGGGCGUAAAGCGCGCGUAGGCGGCUAGAUCAGUCGGGUGUGAAAGCCCCGGGCUUAACCUGGGAACUGCAUCCGAUACUGUCUAGCUUGAGUACAGGAGAGGAGAGUGGAAUUCCACAUGUAGCGGUGAAAUGCGUAGAUAUGUGGAGGAACACCAAUGGCGAAGGCAGCUCUCUGGCCUGAUACUGACGCUGAGGUGCGAAAGCGUGGGGAGCAAACAGGAUUAGAUACCCCGCGUAGUC
rnacentral:rRNA from 1 species